GGGUUGUGAGGUUAAGCGACUAAGCGUACACGGUGGAUGCCCUGGCAGUCAGAGGCGAUGAAGGGCGUGCUAAUCUGCGAUAAGCGCCGGUAAGGUGAUAUGAACCGUUAUAACCGGCGAUACCCGAAUGGGGAAACCCAGUGUGAUUCGUCACACUAUCAUUAACUGAAUCCAUAGGUUAAUGAGGCGAACCGGGGGAACUGAAACAUCUAAGUACCCCGAGGAAAAGAAAUCAACCGAGAUUCCCCCAGUAGCGGCGAGCGAACGGGGAGGAGCCCAGAGCCUGAAUCAGCAUGUGUGUUAGUGGAAGCGUCUGGAAAGGUGCGCGAUACAGGGUGACAGCCCCGUACACAAAAGCGCAUGUGCUGUGAGCUCGAUGAGUAGGGCGGGACACGUGGUAUCCUGUCUGAAUAUGGGGGGACCAUCCUCCAAGGCUAAAUACUCCUGACUGACCGAUAGUGAACCAGUACCGUGAGGGAAAGGCGAAAAGAACCCCGGCGAGGGGAGUGAAAAAGAACCUGAAACCGUGUACGUACAAGCAGUGGGAGCACAGGUUUACCUGUGUGACUGCGUACCUUUUGUAUAAUGGGUCAGCGACUUAUAUUCUGUAGCAAGGUUAACCGUAUAGGGGAGCCGGAGGGAAACCGAGUCUUAACCGGGCGUUAAGUUGCAGGGUAUAGACCCGAAACCCGGUGAUCUAGCCAUGGGCAGGUUGAAGGUUGGGUAACACUAACUGGAGGACCGAACCGACUAAUGUUGAAAAAUUAGCGGAUGACCUGUGGCUGGGGGUGAAAGGCCAAUCAAACCGGGAGAUAGCUGGUUCUCCCCGAAAGCUAUUUAGGUAGCGCCUCGUGAAUUCAUCUCCGGGGGUAGAGCACUGUUUCGGCUAGGGGGCCAUCCCGGCUUACCAACCCGAUGCAAACUGCGAAUACCGGAGAAUGUUAUCACGGGAGACACACGGCGGGUGCUAACGUCCGUCGUGAAGAGGGAAACAACCCAGACCGCCAGCUAAGGUCCCAAAGUCAUGGUUAAGUGGGAAACGAUGUGGGAAGGCCCAGACAGCCAGGAUGUUGGCUUAGAAGCAGCCAUCAUUUAAAGAAAGCGUAAUAGCUCACUGGUCGAGUCGGCCUGCGCGGAAGAUGUAACGGGGCUAAACCAUGCACCGAAGCUGCGGCAGCGAACGUAUCACCCAAGACAACUUUACGGAGUUGACGAUUGACGGAGCGAAGCGACGUCAAAGCGUUCAUUAAAGUCGAGUUGGCUUAGGGAUACGUUCGUUGGGUAGGGGAGCGUUCUGUAAGCCUGUGAAGGUGUGUCGUGAGGCAUGCUGGAGGUAUCAGAAGUGCGAAUGCUGACAUAAGUAACGAUAAAGCGGGUGAAAAGCCCGCUCGCCGGAAGACCAAGGGUUCCUGUCCAACGUUAAUCGGGGCAGGGUGAGUCGACCCCUAAGGCGAGGCCGAAAGGCGUAGUCGAUGGGAAACGGGUUAAUAUUCCCGUACUUGGUGUUACUGCGAAGGGGGGACGGAGAAGGCUAUGUUGGCCGGGCGACGGUUGUCCCGGUUUAAGCGUGUAGGUGUGUGUUCCAGGUAAAUCCGGUUCACUUUAACACUGAGGCGUGACGACGAGGCACUACGGUGCUGAAGCAACAAAUGCCCUGCUUCCAGGAAAAGCCUCUAAGCAUCAGGUAACACGAAAUCGUACCCCAAACCGACACAGGUGGUCAGGUAGAGAAUACCAAGGCGCUUGAGAGAACUCGGGUGAAGGAACUAGGCAAAAUGGUGCCGUAACUUCGGGAGAAGGCACGCUGACACGUAGGUGAAGUGAUUUACUCAUGGAGCUGAAGUCAGUCGAAGAUACCAGCUGGCUGCAACUGUUUAUUAAAAACACAGCACUGUGCAAACACGAAAGUGGACGUAUACGGUGUGACGCCUGCCCGGUGCCGGAAGGUUAAUUGAUGGGGUCAGCGUAAGCGAAGCUCCUGAUCGAAGCCCCGGUAAACGGCGGCCGUAACUAUAACGGUCCUAAGGUAGCGAAAUUCCUUGUCGGGUAAGUUCCGACCUGCACGAAUGGCGUAAUGAUGGCCAGGCUGUCUCCACCCGAGACUCAGUGAAAUUGAACUCGCUGUGAAGAUGCAGUGUACCCGCGGCAAGACGGAAAGACCCCGUGAACCUUUACUAUAGCUUGACACUGAACAUUGAGCCUUGAUGUGUAGGAUAGGUGGGAGGCUUUGAAGUGUGGACGCCAGUCUGCAUGGAGCCGACCUUGAAAUACCACCCUUUAAUGUUUGAUGUUCUAACGUGGACCCGUAAUCCGGGUUGCGGACAGUGUCUGGUGGGUAGUUUGACUGGGGCGGUCUCCUCCUAAAGAGUAACGGAGGAGCACGAAGGUUGGCUAAUCCUGGUCGGACAUCAGGAGGUUAGUGCAAUGGCAUAAGCCAGCUUGACUGCGAGCGUGACGGCGCGAGCAGGUGCGAAAGCAGGUCAUAGUGAUCCGGUGGUUCUGAAUGGAAGGGCCAUCGCUCAACGGAUAAAAGGUACUCCGGGGAUAACAGGCUGAUACCGCCCAAGAGUUCAUAUCGACGGCGGUGUUUGGCACCUCGAUGUCGGCUCAUCACAUCCUGGGGCUGAAGUAGGUCCCAAGGGUAUGGCUGUUCGCCAUUUAAAGUGGUACGCGAGCUGGGUUUAGAACGUCGUGAGACAGUUCGGUCCCUAUCUGCCGUGGGCGCUGGAGAACUGAGGGGGGCUGCUCCUAGUACGAGAGGACCGGAGUGGACGCAUCACUGGUGUUCGGGUUGUCAUGCCAAUGGCACUGCCCGGUAGCUAAAUGCGGAAGAGAUAAGUGCUGAAAGCAUCUAAGCACGAAACUUGCCCCGAGAUGAGUUCUCCCUGAGACUUAGAGUCUCCUGAAGGAACGUUGAAGACGACGACGUUGAUAGGCCGGGUGUGUAAGCGCAGCGAUGCGUUGAGCUAACCGGUACUAAUGAACCGUGAGGCUUAACCUUACAACGCCGAAG
rnacentral:rRNA from 2 species